ACGAACGCUGGCGGCGUGCUUAACACAUGCAAGUCAACUUGAGGGGGCAACCCUGAUGGUGGCGAACGGGUGAGUAACGCGUAGAUAACCUGCCCUUCAGUUUGGGAUAACCUCGGGAAACUGGGAUUAAUACCGGAUACUAUCUUGAUACGGCAUCGUAUUAAGAUGAAAGAUCUUGAAUCGCUGAAGGAGGGGUCUGCGUACUAUUAGCUAGUUGGUAAGGUAAUGGCUUACCAAGGCGAUGAUAGUUAGCUGGUCUGAGAGGAUGAUCAGCCACACUGGGACUGAGAUACGGCCCAGACUCCUACGGGAGGCAGCAGUGAGGAAUAUUGCACAAUGGGGGAAACCCUGAUGCAGCAACGCCGCGUGAGUGAUGAAGCAGUUUAUCUGUGUAAAGCUCUGUUGGUUGGGACGAAAUUUAGGGUUAGUUGCCUUAAUUGACGGUACCAUCUAAGAAAGCUCCGGCUAACUCCGU
rnacentral:rRNA from 1 species